GUAAGCAGCCAUAUCACCCUGCAACUCACAACUGGCAACGCACUGAAACUAAGCAGGUGUGAGCCUGGUCGGUACCUUGAUGGGAGACCUCCUGGGAACAACUAGUGGGGCAAGUA
rnacentral:rRNA from 1 species